rnacentral:rRNA from 1 species
AACGCGAAGAACCUUACCAAGGACUUGACAUACAGGGAAAUCUCGCAGAGAUGUGAGGUCCGCAAGGGUCCUGUACAGGUGGUGCAUGGUUGUCGUCAGCUCGUGUCGUGAGAUGUUGGGUUAAGUCCCGCAACGAGCGCAACCCUCGUCCUAUGUUGCCAGCGGGUCGUGCCGGGGACUCAUAGGAGACUGCCGGGGUCAAACUCGGAGGAAGUGGGGAUGACGUCAAAUCAUCAUGCCCCUUAUGUCUUGGGCUUCACGCAUGCUACAAUGGCCGGUACAAAGGGCUGCGAUACCGCGAGGUGGAGCGAAUCCCAGAAAGCCGGUCUCAGUUCGGAUUGGGGUCUGCAACUCGACCCCAUGAAGUCGGAGUCGCUAGUAAUCGCAGAUCAGCAACGCUGCGGUGAAUACGUUCCCGGGCCUU